GUGCCAGCAGCCGCGGUAAUACCGGCAGCCCGAGUGAUGGCCGAUCUUAUUGGGCCUAAAGCGUCCGUAGCUGGCCGCGCAAGUCCAUCGGGAAAUCUAACUGCUCAACAGGUGGGCGCCCGGUAGAAACUGUGCGGCUUGGGACCGGAAGGCGCGACGGGUACGUUCGGGGUAGGAGUGAAAUCCCAUAAUCCCGCACGGACCACCGAUGGCGAAAGCACUUCGAGAAAACGGAUCCGACAGUGAGGGACGAAAGCCAGGGUCUCCAACCGGAUUAGAAACCCUAGUAGUCC
rnacentral:rRNA from 1 species